GCGGGGGGCGUCCAUCGGGCAGUUCGCUGAAAGCGGCGCGCGGCGGGGCGAAGGUGACGCGGUGGGGGCGAAAGUGGAGAGAGGAGCGAGAGGGCUCGAGUGUGCAGCGCGACGAAGCAGACACACCAAAUAAGCAGCGCGCGAUGCCGAUUCCGGACCGCACACUGUACUCUUUAUGCCGCGCGCGCGUUUAUCGCGCGGCCGCUGGAGCAACUUUUUUUGUUGCGCGCGCUAAGAACGCUUUUCGCAACGCAACGCUGGUUUAGCGUGGCUGUUGGAGAUGCUCUUAAGGUUGUGUUAGUCCUAUUAAAAAGGAACCAGGUUGUUAUGACCGUGCCGAAG
rnacentral:lncRNA from 1 species